UACGUAGGGUGCGAGCGUUGCCCGGAUUUAUUGGGCGUAAAGGGCGCGUAGGCGGUCACGCACGUCCGUUGUGAAAUCGCUCGGCUCAACUGGGCGGGGUCAGCGGAUACGGCGUGGCUGGAGCAAGCUAGGGGGCAAUGGAAUUCCCGGUGUAGUGGUGGAAUGCGUAGAUAUCGGGAGGAACCAGUGGCGAAGGCGGUUGCCUGGAGCUUUGCUGACGCUGAUGCGCGAAAGCGUGGGGAGCGAACAGG
rnacentral:rRNA from 1 species